rnacentral:rRNA from 1 species
UACAGAGGAUGCGAGCGUUAUCCGGAAUGAUUGGGCGUAAAGCGUCUGUAGGUGGCUUUUUAAGUCCGCCGUCAAAUCCCAGGGCUCAACUCUGGACAGGCGGUGGAAACUACCAAGCUGGAGUACGGUAGGGGCAGAGGGAAUUUCCGGUGGAGCGGUGAAAUGCGUAGAGAUCGGAAAGAACACCAACGGCGAAGGCAGCACUCUGGGCCGGUACUGACGCUGAGGAGCGAAAGCGUGGGGAGCAAACAGG